ACUCCUACGGGAGGCAGCAGUGGGGAAUUUUGGACAAUGGGCGAAAGCCUGAUCCAGCAAUGCCGCGUGAGUGAAGAAGGCCUUCGGGUUGUAAAGCUCUUUUGUCAGGGAAGAAACGGUGAAAGCUAAUAUCUUUUGCUAAUGACGGUACCUGAAGAAUAAGCACCGGCUAACUACGUGCCAGCAGCCGCGGUAAUACGUAGGGUGCAAGCGUUAAUCGGAAUUACUGGGCGUAAAGCGUGCGCAGGCGGUUUUGUAAGUCUGAUGUGAAAUCCCCGGGCUCAACCUGGGAAUUGCAUUGGAGACUGCAAGGCUAGAAUCUGGCAGAGGGGGGUAGAAUUCCACGUGUAGCAGUGAAAUGCGUAGAUAUGUGGAGGAACACCGAUGGCGAAGGCAGCCCCCUGGGUCAAGAUUGACGCUCAUGCACGAAAGCGUGGGGAGCAAACAGGAUUAGAUACCCGUGUAGUCCCAUG
rnacentral:rRNA from 1 species